UGCUAUCAAAAAAAAAAGUUCUAAUGGCGCACCCGCCAUUGCUAACCGGCAGUGCCUCUCUCCCGUGCCCACUCUCUCUCCCAUGCCCACUCUCUCUCUCUCGUGCCCACUCUCUCUCUCUCUCUCCACCCCCACCCCCUCCCCCGUGCCGUUGGCCGGCCGCAUCCCCGCCGCGCGGCCUCGCCCCCCACCCGCCGACGGAUCUCCGGAUCUGUGCGGUCUCGCCCCCCACCCGCCUGGAUCCGCACCGAGGCGCGGGUGCUGCCUCCAUAGGAAGGAAUUCAGUUCUCCCCCUCACAGGCGGCGUCCUCGACGGUCAGCGGCGGCGACCCGGCACGGGAGUCCUUUCGCCGAUCUUGAGUCUUGCCACAGGCCGCUCUCGUCGAAGGGGGCCUGGUCGAGGAAUGCACCGUACACCAUCGUACACCGUCAUACAAGUGCAGAACGAGCUGAAGCAGAACAGGGCUUCCGACGGCCAUGUGAUUGCCGCUCCGGAGAAGGAGGCCCUUGCUGCCGGUUGCCGCAAGGAGCUCGCGGGCUUGUGGGCGUACUUCAAGGAGGUUUCUGGCCACAAGAUGCAGAUCGAUGGUGGUGGAAACCUGUCAAGCAAUGCCAUGAUUGGGUGCUUGCUGGAGGAGAGCAAUCUUGGGCUAUCCAAGUUGGUGGAUGAGACAUUUCAAAAGCUCAAAGGAACAGAGGGUGUCUCUGUUGCUUCGGUCCGCAGCUCAGUCCUGCUCAUUGGACAGAGGAUGAUGUACGGACAAUCUAGCCCCGAUGCUGAUGUGUUGGAAGAUGAAUCGGAUCUUUCUCUUUGGUGCUCGGAGGUAAGAGAUUUGAAGGUACUGCCUAUGAGAACGCGUGGGUUUUUAAGUGUGCGGAGAACUGCUAGAAAGAAAAUCCAUGAGAGGAUCACUGCUCUCCAUUAAACAAUAGAAGCAAUAUGCCUACGUCGACUCCCUCAAGCUCGCCGGCAACGGCAAGGAGGUCUGGGUCUACGACAUCGACGAGACCACCCUCUCCAACCUCCCCUACUACGCCAAGCACGGCUUCGGGUACAUCCGAUCGAGCAGCGACUUGCACUCAUCCGAUCGUCACUAGAAGCCGCAUUGAUAAACACUAGAUAUAUCUUAAAUGGUUCCUGUGGAUAUUGUUGUCAUGAGUUAUGUGUGGUGUGCCAUCGUAGAGAUUAUUGUGUGUUUCUUGAAGGUCUGUCGGGCGCCAAGAAUUUGGAGUUGAUAGCUGACUACGUUAUGGUAUGCUUGCACUCUUUUCUAGUGGAUAUGCUCGUUGUUUUGCUAACACUGUUUGUUGUUUUCUGUUCACCCUGGUAUUAUUAAAUCAUACACUUGAAGUUAGAGCUUCAAUUGUCUUUUAGUUCUUCACCUCGUCCAGGUUUACAGAAUGGAUAUAAAAUGGUACCCUACGUUUAGCAAGAUAAAAACAUUGUUGCUCGAUCACUGGUGUAUGGCUGAUGACUUUUAUGGACUCAUUUAGUUUCUCAAGAACUCACCCAUUCUAGAGAGAUUUACCCUUGAACUUUAUAAACCAUUUGAGCAUGCGUAUGGCAUCAUGAGUGGAACCUACCCGCCAAAGGACCAAGUUUUGGUAUCAAAACAUUUCAAGGCAUUCGAAAUCAAUCAUGUAAAAGAUGAUAAAUGGAUUCACCUAUUAUUGAAGGUCCUUGCUUCCCAUGGAGUACAUUCGGAACUAAUAAAAUUUGUAGAGAAGUACCAUUCUUAACGUGUAGAAUGAUCAGAGACUGCUGCACUGGGAGCUGAUAUAGUUAUUAUGACAAUAAGUGCAGUUGAUGGGUGGACUGAAGAUGACACUAAACUUAUCUAACAUGUCAUGUUUGAUAAGGUACCAUCAGUUUCAUUUUCACAACAAUUUUGUUGAUGAUGUCUGGUUGCUUGGUUGUUGGUUUGCAUGCCUUCUCUUUGAGCAACAUAUUCAGCAAAUUCUGCAUUGGAAAAUGAUGUCUUUCAGAAUCAUGCUGGUCCUCGGUCAUUUCCGACACUUUUGACCUUUGAGCAGCAUAUGAAGUGGCAUAGAACGAUCUGAACAAGCCUGGUAGGUAUCCAAAGAACAAGCAAUGAAAUUGAACCCAUUUUCUGGAUGGGGUCAAAGAUCUAUAGGCUGGGAUUACUGUUGUCACUGCCCUAUAGAUUUGGGUUGUAUCGUUGUGUAUUAUAUUUGCUAUGGAUCUAUGUAUGUAUGGAUGCUAUGGAACUAUAUGUAUAUAUGGAUGCUAUGGAA